rnacentral:rRNA from 1 species
UACGUAGGGGGCAAGCGUUGUCCGGAAUCAUUGGGCGUAAAGCGCGUGUAGGCGGUUUGUCGCGUCUGCCGUGAAAAUUCGAGGCUCAACCUCGAACUUGCGGUGGGUACGGGCAGACUAGAGUGUGGUAGGGGAGACUGGAAUUCCUGGUGUAGCGGUGAAAUGCGUAGAUAUCAGGAGGAACACCGGUGGUGUAGACGGCUGCCUGGCCUGUAACUGACGCUGAGACGCGAAAGCGUGGGGAGCGAACCGG